CUCGUAGGUGGUUUGUCGCGUUGUUCGUGAAAACUCACAGCUUAACUGUGGGCGUGCGGGCGAUACGGGCAGACUAGAGUACUGCAGGGGAGACUGGAAUUCCUGGUGUAGCGGUGGAAUGCGCAGAUAUCAGGAGGAACACCGGUGGCGAAGGCGGGUCUCUGGGCAGUAACUGACGCUGAGGAGCGAAAGCGUGGGUAGCAAACA
rnacentral:rRNA from 1 species